rnacentral:tRNA from 1 species
CCGGUAGCUCAGUUGGUAGAGCAGAGGAUUGAAAAUCCUUGUGUCGGUGGUUCGAUUCCGCCCCA